GACGAACGCUGGCGGCGUGCUUAACACAUGCAAGUCGAACGGUGAAGCACCUUCCUUUUGGUGGGUGUGGAUGAGUGGCGAACGGGUGAGUAACACGUGGGUAACCUGCCCCCUUCUUCUGGAUAACCGCAUGAAAGUGUGGCUAAUACGGGAUAUUCUGGGUCUGUCGCAUGGCGGGCCUGGGAAAGAUAUUGUUUCGGUGGGGGAUGGGCUCGCGGUCUAUCAGCUUGUUGGUGGGGUGAUGGCCUACCAAGGCGGGGACGGGUAGCCGGCCUGAGAGGGUUGACGGUCACACUGGGACUGAGACACGGCCCAGACUCCUACGGGAGGCAGCAGUGGGGAAUAUUGCACAAUGGGCGCAAGCCUGAUGCAGCGACGCCGCGUGAGGGAUGGAGGCCUUCGGGUUGUAAACCUCUUUCGCCAGUGAAGCAGGCCUGUCCCUUUUGUGGGUGGGUUGACGGUAGCUGGAUAAGAAGCGCCGGCUAACUACGUG
rnacentral:rRNA from 1 species